rnacentral:rRNA from 1 species
UGGGGAAUAUUGCACAAUGGGCGCAAGCCUGAUGCAGCCAUGCCGCGUGUGUGAAGAAGGCCUUCGGGUUGUAAAGCACUUUCAGCGGGGAGGAAGGCGUUAAGGUUAAUAACCUUGGCGAUUGACGUUACCCGCAGAAGAAGCACCGGCUAACUCCGUGCCAGCAGCCGCGGUAAUACGGAGGGUGCAAGCGUUAAUCGGAAUUACUGGGCGUAAAGCGCACGCAGGCGGUCUGUCAAGUCGGAUGUGAAAUCCCCGGGCUCAACCUGGGAACUGCAUUCGAAACUGGCAAGCUUGAGUCUCGUAGAGGGGGGUAGAAUUCCAGGUGUAGCGGUGAAAUGCGUAGAGAUCUGGAGGAAUACCGGUGGCGAAGGCGGCCCCCUGGACGAAGACUGACGCUCAGGUGCGAAAGCGUGGGGAGCAAACAGG